rnacentral:rRNA from 1 species
UUUUUUAAAUUGCUGUGGUAUUUUGACUAUACGAAGGUAUUGAAAUAAGAUUUUAAAUGAGUGCUAAGAGAAUGAUUUAACAAUUAAUAACUUUCUUUAUAUUAAUAAUUGAAUUUGGUUUUAUUGUGAAGAAACAAUAAUAUUAAUUAGGGACAAGAAGACCCUAUGAAUUUUAAAAUUUUUUUUAAAUUUAUUUUAAUUUAAAAAAAAAUUUUUUAUUGGGGCGAUAAAAAAAGAAUACAUAUCUUUUUUUUUAAAAAAAAAUUAAUUUAGAUCCAUUAUUAAUGAUAAUAUGAAAAAAAUACUCUAGGGAUAACAGCGUAA